CAUGAAUGAAAUGCCAAACUCACUGUCUGAACCAAAUUAUCCUGCUGGUUUCACAAUCCCAUUACAUCGAAAUGAUCAUUGUAUUUUCGUCCAACCCCCAACAAAAAUUCGGAAAGUAGACAUUGAUUUGGGGGAGUGGACAUCAACAGGGGGGGGGGGGGGAGCUAAAGUGUUAAGAUGAAAAUGGGGGGGGGGGGGGGGGGGGGGGGGGGCAAGGGAUGUAAUCAAAUUCAUCAGUUAUAGCAUGUAUACCAGAACUAGUAAAUGCAAAAUUGGCUGGAAAAAGAGCAAUAUGGACUUGUAUAAUUAUAUAAAUGUGUAUAUGUUUAAUUUUCAGAAUGCAACGUUGCAGUACAUAUUCACAUAGACAUAUAACGGAUAACAUAUAUCUGUUAUAUGUCUUUGCCCGGGGCAGGGUUGGCAAAAAAGUGGUUGAUAUGAGACCGGUGAUCAAUACUGGUUAAAACUGGUUAAUACAGGUCGAUUGAAAAUUGUUUGGUAUAUAUAAUAUACUUAGAAGUCAUAAUAUUACAUAAAUAAUGUACAAAUGACUCUGUUGAAUUGGGGAGAUGUAAAAGUUUCUGUUCAAAUUCCUUAAUUUAACAAGAACUAACUUAGUAUAAGUAUUGUUUCAUCAAUCUUCAUUUUAACUGUUGAAUACUGUUGAAUAAACAUUUGAGGGUGGGUUAGUGAUGUUUUCAUAACAAUAACAGGUACACUGGUCAUCUCUGGUCCCAACCUAUGCUUAUUAACACCUGUCUACUCUGCUUCCUGGGCUCAGGUAAUGUCCAGCUACCUUUUAUUCUUAAUCUGUCCAGGUACAUGUAUUAAGAGGUCUGUCUCCAGUCAAGCUAUGUUAUAGAACUGUGACCCUCUGGUAGGUGCUGAAGAUAUUUCGGUCAGUUUUAGCAAACCAAAUAUAUCAAACUUAUGAAAUUACAUUUGAUUAUCUAAUGAAAAAUAUUAAUCAGCAAUUGAUCCAUAUAAUGAAAAGACUUAAUUUAUCUUUAUCUUUGCAAGAAAUGUACAAAAAUAGGAAAAUGGACAGUUUAAAUCACAAUUGACCAUUAUUGACCACUUGGGGAGUAUUGAACGGGACGGUUAAAACCACUGGUUAAAACCGAGGGCGGUUUUAACCGCCCAACCCUGCUAUGCCUCUAUGGUAUUCAGAGAUAGAUCAUACUAACUAAUUACUUUUUCUUUAAUUAAGUGAAUUUAUACAUUACUUGUUUCUCCUAACUACUGCUUUAUGGCAUAAAUUGAAGAUUCAGUCUCUGGUGUUGGAGAUCUUUUAUCUUGAAAACAAUAGAUGCUAGUGCCACACAACCAAAGAAUGUAGUUAACAUACUGCUACCUUUGCAUGUAUUAAUUAGCAAAUUAAGGUACUAGUAAAUAUAAAUGUAAGGAACAAAUGUCUAGGGUGUUUUUUAUCUAUUAAAAAGAUUGUAUCAAACUCUAAAUCUGAUAAGUAAAAUUUUGUAAUAUUCCAGCUUCACGAAGUUUAUCCUAUCAUAAUAGAGGUGAUUAGCUACUUUGAACCUACUUUCAUGGAUCUACCAUAUUAUCUUUUUUUUACUAUGGCAUUUGACUUUAUGUUACUUUUCAAAGAAGGUGUAAUUUAUACAUAUAACGUGCAUCACAUGCAAUUUUAAUGAUGCAGGCAAAUAAUUUUGAUGCAAUAUAAUUAAUAAAAGGCAAGCGUGAACUGUAGAUCUACCCAGAUUAGAUUCAAUAAGAAUUGAAGGUCAAAACCAUGGUGGUAACACAAAGCAUCUGCAUACAAGAUUUUUUAGGCUUGUUAAAUGGAAAAAUUAUAUGAAAAUAAUAGUCUCCAGUAAUAUCUACAUUUUAACUCAUAUGAGAAAUCUUAUAACAGUUUCAAUAUUUAGACAGAUCAUAAGAUGGAAACCAAUGUAAUUGAUACGAAAAGGGAGUACAACUCGAAAUAUCAAGGAAAAACAAGAAAGGCCAUUGUGAAUCAGCAGAUGAUGUCCUAUACAACCAUCCUUCCAUGACACAUGCAAUGGGAAGUAUAUUUCAGGAAACAAAGCCUGUCUGAAACUCCAAAAUGACAUUUCCAGAAAGCUGAAGAAUGGAUAAAAAUGUAUCUACCAUCUUACAACCCAGAUUUCAUUCCACUGAAAAGAAAAGGGACAGGAAAUUUUGCAUGUCCAUGUCUUGGAAGGUGAAUAGGUGGAAAGUCAAUAGAUGCUUACCAUAUCAGAUGCUAGCAGAGGAUACUGGGGAUAAAGUAGCAGAAAAUUAUGGAAAACAGGGAAGUGGCAGCCAGGACUAUGGAGGGGAGGUGACAAUGACAGUGAGAUGGCGUUAGGUUGGGCAUCAGAAGGGAAGAAGGCAUUUAAGAGACCGAAAACAACCUGGAGAGGAACAGUAGGAGCAGAAAGAAAGAUUGCAGAAUGGAGAAACUUGAAUGAGAUCAAGAUGAUAGCAAUAGAACAGAGCGGAUUGGAGAGAGUCUCGGUCCUAUGUGUUUUGGCAUGGAGAGAACUAAGUAAUGUCUAGAUUGUUGGAGAUCGGAUGACCAGGAAUAAUUCAAUAUGAAUGAAUGUGCUGGAAACUGUACUAAGACCCUUAUGUAUUUGGAUUGAUUUACAUACCAUCAUGAGUUUGCUAUGAAAAACUUGAAAAAAUCCUCAACUCAUAUUGUAGCUGACAUUAUACAUUUGUACUUAUUUAAAAUAUUUCAAAUGAACAUAUUUUUAGACAUACAAUAUCUAAACUUUGGAGUCCAUGUACAUCUCCACAUUGGAUAAUAGGUUAUGAUAUAUGUGUGUGAAAUCUUUUCCUAUGGUAUGCACAUGUUAACACAUUAGUUUAAAUGAUGAUGUAUAUCUUAUGACUAUGGAAGAGAAUGUGUUCAGAACAGAAUAUGUGUCUAGAAGAGUUGUUGCCCUUGAAUGUAAUUCAUUAUUUACAUGGGGUUGAAAAAUAAUCCAGCACACAGUAGUACUAAAUGCAUUAUGUUAAAAUACAUUUAUGAAUGGUAUAAGUGAUACUGUCAAUUACUGAUUAAUACACUUUGUGAAAUAAUA